rnacentral:rRNA from 1 species
CGGGGCGCAGCAGUAAGGAAUAUUGGUCAAUGGGCGCAAGCCUGAACCAGCCAUGCCGCGUGCAGGAGGACGGCCCUACGGGUUGUAAACUGCUUUUAUCUGGGGAUAAACCUUUCUAUGCGUAGAAAGCUGAAGGUACCAGAUGAAUAAGGAUCGGCUAACUCCGUGCCAGCAGCCGCGGUAAUACGGAGGAUCCGAGCGUUAUCCGGAUUUAUUGGGUUUAAAGGGUGCGUAGGCGGCUCAUUAAGUCAGUGGUGAAAGGUACCCGCUUAACGGGGACACUGCCAUUGAUACUGAUGAGCUGGAGUACAGAUGAAGUGGGCGGAAUGUGUCAAGUAGCGGUGAAAUGCAUAGAUAUGACACAGAACACCAAUUGCGAAGGCAGCUCACUAAAGUGUAACUGACGCUGAGGCACGAAAGCGUGGGGAUCGAACAGGAUUAGAUACCCCUGU